rnacentral:rRNA from 1 species
GAUGAACGCUAGCUACAGGCUUAACACAUGCAAGUCGAGGGGCAUCAGGAAGAAAGCUUGCUUUCUUUGCUGGCGACCGGCGCACGGGUGAGUAACACGUAUCCAACCUGCCCUUUACUCGGGGAUAGCCUUUCGAAAGAAAGAUUAAUACCCGAUGGGAUAAUGAUUCCGCAUGGUUUGAUUAUUAAAGGAUUCCGGUAAAGGAUGGGGAUGCGUUCCAUUAGGUUGUUGGUGAGGUAACGGCUCACCAAGCCUUCGAUGGAUAGGGGUUCUGAGAGGAAGGUCCCCCGCAUUGGAACUGAGACACGGUCCAAACUCCUACGGGAGGCAGCAGUGAGGAAUAUUGGUCAAUGGGCGCGAGCCUGAACCAGCCAAGUAGCGUGAGGGAUGACUGCCCUAUGGGUUGUAAACUUCUUUUAUAUUAGAAUAAAGUGCAGUAUGUAUACUGUUUUGUAUGUAUAAUAUGAAUAAGGAUCGGCUAACUCCGUGCCAGCCGCCGCCGUAA